AGUCGAGCCCUGGAUGUGAUGAAGGCAUGAACAAGAAUUUCAGUGGCCUGAGGGGUGAGGUAAUGGCGGAGUCGGACGAUGUUACGGAGGGCUGCUCUGACAGCUAUCUGUUUCAGAUGCUCGAGGAGGAAAAAAAUCACUGAAGACCAAGAGCAGCCUCAGGAACAUUAAUGGACAAAGGAACAUGCAUAAACAGUCUUGUCAUCGGGAACGGUUCCAAACUGGUGAAGAGGAAGAGAAACCUUUUUCGCUAUUGUACAGCAAAUCGCAUUAACGAGAGCCUUUUUUCUUAAGGCACAUUUGCUUCAGGACAGCAUUCCGAGGUGGAUUCUAGCUGCCAUGACCCCCCUCUUUACCUUGAUGAUGAUGUUUACCAAGAGCCUGAUGAAGAUGGAGGGAUUGUGAGGUGGAGAGAGACUGACUGGGAUGGAGCUGCAGUGAAGCUUGAUGAACGCUGAAUUAAGAAAGCUGAAUCCAAAAACGAGACCUGUAAGCUCGUUACGAACAGAUGGUGGGACUGCAAACAGCACUAAUUUCCUCUUAAUGCAGCAACAGCCCGAAAAUAUCAGCAACGGCA